UCCAAAAGCAAACUUUUUCUCGUCUUCUCUCUUCUCUGCUUCUUCUCAUCUUCUCUCCUCUUUUGGUGUUCGUUUCUUCGUUUUCUUUCUCCUCUGCCGCACCCCACCCCGUGCCCUCUCUCCUUUGCAACCGAUGUUGCCGCCCUCGAAGCGACGGAUUUGGCUCAACACUCAAAUCCGCCAUGGAUCUGAACCCUCAACCAGCCCCUCAGAUUCGCUUUCACACGGCGUCUUCACUCUUCCGUUUCUGAGGGAGCAUUUGGAGAAAGCUUGGUCUGUGGUUGGGGAAAACUUCAUCAAGGCUGUCCAUUGCGACAAGCAGAUGAUCAGAGGCAGCUAAGCAAUGGAGGAGGGGAAGCAGUUGUCAUCACCUCUGCUCUCUCUCUCAACCCCUCUCCUCGAAUAAAGUCAUCAUUCUUCAUUUCUACCACUCUCUUUAAACAUUUUUCCUAAACCUUGCCUUUGCUUCCUCAUGUGAUAGGAAAUUUAAUAUUCAUGGAUUUUGAAAUUCAUUUACUUGUAAAUUAAAAUUGUUUUAUAAAAAUGGAGUCUUUGAAAUUAUCUGCUUGAAAUGGGUGAUAUUAGGAAAAAAUAAGCUAAAAGUGAUUGAAUUGGAAAUUUGGUUUGAGAUUAUUUACAUGAUUCAACUAGGGAUAAGUAAUUUUUCUUUUGUGCCAGCUUAAUUUGUGACUAAUUUGAUACUAGAAGAUUUUGGAAAUUGCUCUUUUGAUUUUAAUUUACCUGACAUUUUUUUAUUUUAUGUUGGAAAUGACAGAUUGUUGUAGAAGAGGUUCUUGAGAGGUGCUCUUCGACCAUUCGGCCGCAUUUUGCUAUCGCAAACAUUGGCAGUGGAUUCAGUUUGAUUGAUGCUUUUUGGCUUGUGGUUUUAGUUUUUGUUCUGGGGUUGGUGGUGGAUUUACUUGGAGCUGCCGUGGAUGCUGAUAAAUCAAAGGUGGUCGGCACUGCACUAUGUUCGAAGAAGCGUCCUACAAAAAAGUUGCACUGACCAAAUUGAGUUCCAAAGCUGCUGCUUGGGGAAAGAUUCUUUCCCAGUGCUCUCAAGUGGGCUUUUCUUCUUUUCCUAUGCUUUCUCUGAUAUUUGGAUUAUUUUGAUGCAAUCGUUGCUCUGUUUAUUUAUUGGAAAAAUCCAUUGAGAGGAAAGAAUUACUUUUUGAUGGCUGUUUGUUACUUGAACGUUUCCGAGUAACAAACAACCAUAA